GAGGCUGAGUUUAGUCUGUAAAAAUCAGCUCGACGUUUUUUAAACCUUUAUUGGGUGAUUAGGGUGUGUUUUAAUGUUCACUUUGGUUUCUUCAUAUGAGUGUUUUUUUUUUUUUCAUUUUCUACGCUGUGUGCCCGUUACAAAAGCAAGAUAUCAGCGUGUUUUCUUGUGGCCAUCAGCAGCGGGAGGUUUUCAACGUGUGAUCUUCACAAAAGCGACGGUGUCGUAGCGUUUACGUUGGGCCUUCAGCAUCUCAGAAGACGUUACCUCGCCGCGAGAAGGACAACAACCCGUGUGGGUUCCCUCCCAGCAACUGAGAUUGCAUUAUAACUCCAAGGAUGGUAGAACUCUCAGAAACAAAAGGCAAAGAACCGUCAGAAAGCAAAGAGCAAGGUUUGUCACCUGACACAUAAACUCCAUGACCUCGACAUUACAACAAAAUAUCGCCAUGUGACCUACAACACCAGUCAUUCUACUCUACCAACAUGGGGCCAGAUAAAAGUCUUAUCACAUCAAACAGAGAAAUUACUACAAGAAGAAGGAAUUCCAAAAAUGACGGGUAAUAUAAUUCUGGCUGCCUUUAUGGUGGUCAGUGCAGUGUCUGUCUCCUGGAUAGACUCCUCAGUGGAAGUUUACACUAAUAAUAGUGCAUUCACACCGGUCCCCAAUGAUGACAGGUUUCCAGCCCAACCAGAAGAAGAAGUCUGCAGAUGUCUCCAAAGAGUCCGAGGACAAGUCCAAAAUCAACGACAAGCAAUGAUGGCAGUGACGAUCCUAGUCAAUAAAAAGGGGGAAGAUGUGGGUGGUAAGCCACCCAGGUGCCGAGGCAAGAGACCGAAGGAAAAACCAGCCAUACAGAGACAGGAGCUGAAGGGACACGGUGAGAAGUGACCAGAAGUCAAGAGUGUGAGCCCUCUGUCAUGCAUGGACAGGGUUACUAGAUGGCUCCUUGGUCUAGCGGUAACGCCAGUGCCUGGGAAGGCACCCAUUACUUAGUGGACCGGGAAAGGGAAUCUCCCUUUCCCCUGGGGAGAGAAGACUCUGCUCCACUACCUCUUGUGCAAGGCCUGACAUGAGUCAGGCCCGCCCACAGCCAUCUGAAGGCCUAAACGUCUCCCUGUGAUGCUAUGCUUCAGCGGUCACACUCCUGGUGUACUUUCAUGUUCUGCUCUGCGCACCUGGCCCCGCAUUCUAGAUAGCAGUAGCAGAAUUAGUGAAAAUACUAAAGUCUUUGAUCUUUCCAAGAAAUACAUAGAAGAAAUAAUGACGUAAGCUGUCCCCUCUCUCUCUCUCCACCUUGGUUACCAAAUAGGGAAGGGCCCCCUGUCCCGUGGACAUGUGACUCGCGUGACCUUACCUAUCAUUGGAGAUGACUCACACUACUUACCCUGCCGCCUUGCCUUGUAUACAAUAAAUAACAGCGCAGCCAGGCAUUCGAGGCCACUACCAGUCUCCGCAUCUUGGUGGUAGUGGUUCCCCGGGCCCAGCUGUCUUUUCUUCUCUC
rnacentral:lncRNA from 1 species